ACAAGACACCCUUCAGGGCUGGAGAGAAGACAACCAGCGAUUGGACAGGGGUCAUGGAGAGGAACCUGGGAGCUGUGCUGGGGAUUCUGUGGGUGCAGAUUUGCUGUGAGUUGUGCUAAGUUCCUAUUAGAGAUUCUCCAGAAAUGUUGGUGGUGGAGGGGGAGAUGUUGAUGAAAAUCUCCUGUGCACUCUUCCUCAUGGGUGUCUCCUGGGGUAGUUGAUGGUGUGAGUGAAAAUCUCUCUUUGAUUUUGGUUUGCUUUUCUGUUUUCAAGCAGGGGUGAGCGGAGAUAAGGUGAAGCAAAGUCCCUCAGCGCUGAGUCUCCAAGAGGGAACCAAUUCUGCUCUGAGAUGCAAUUUUUCUAUCGCUGCGACAACUGUGCAGUGGUUCCUACAGAAUCCCAGGGGCAGCCUCAUGAAUCUUUUUUACCUGGUGCCAGGAACAAAGGAGAAUGGGAGGUUAAAGUCAGCAUUUGAUUCUAAGGAGAGCUACAGCACCCUGCACAUUAGGGAUGCCCAGCUGGAGGACUCAGGCACUUACUUCUGUGCUGCUGAGGCACAGUGCUCCCAGCAAGGCUGGAGCCUGGCCCCAAACUGCAGCUGAGUGUGCAGCUAUAACCCCUGGCACAGGCAGACUCUGCAGGAGGCUUUGCACAGCUGUGGCCUUAUCAGAUCGCCACCAGUUACAGAGAAGAUGUGAGGAAACAUAAGCUCGGUGCAGAAGUUCACACUUACAUUCAGGUUUGCAUGACACUGACUGCUAGUGUGUUAAACGCUCAGAGUCAUCCUCGGCCCACAACACUAAAACACACACUUCACUUUAUCAAAUGCUUGUGCUAGUGUCACAAAAUAAAAAACCCUCUUAUAUACUCCAGAAUCAUUUGGGCCAUUUCUCACAAUCAGAAACUGAGAGCAACUGUUUCUAUCCUUUGUUUAGAGAGCACCUGACCAAACUUCCACCUAAUCUGUUAAAUAUGAAGUUGAUAAAAGAAUUAAUAUUGAUGAUCUAAGAAAUUCAGUGGUAGAAAAGCAGGGUAAACUAAUCUUAUUUAAUGAAGACAUUACUACAAUGUUUUUUUUUUAGUUAAAAAUAGAGUACAUUUAAUUAUGCAAUAUGAAACAAAUAUUUCACAUAAAAAUUACAAGAGCCAAAGAUAAAUGACUAACUAGAGAGAUAUAUUUGCAAUUUGUAUCACAAUAGUACUUACAGCAAUUGAUUCUUCUGGCAUAUUUAUACAUUUGCAACAUAAUAGUUAUACUAAACUCUCAUUAAAACACUGUUUUCAAAAGAAAACUCAAAACUCCCUAAAUAUCACACAACAGGGGACUAAGUCACUAUAUCAUAAUUAAAUGUGAACCAAAGAGUUGCUUUUUCCUAAGUGUUGGCUGAUUUCAUUUUGCAGUUGAAAAAACCCAGCUUGUCCUGUCUCUGUAAGGAACUGGAAAACACCUGUCAUUCUUUCAUGUAAUUUCUAUCCAUUGCUCCCCAACCCACCCAAUCCUGCUUCCUGGCCCUGGCACUACCUAUAAUAGGGCAUAUAAUCUUUGCAAGACCAAGGGCCUCUCCUCCCAGUGAUGGCUGACUAGGGUAUUCUCUGCUACAUAUGCAGCUAGAGACAUGAUCUCUGGGGGUCCUGGUUAGUUCAUAUUGUUGUUCCACCUCUAGGGUAGCAGAACUCUUCUGUUCCUUGAGAACUUUCUCUAGCUUCUCCAUUGGGAGCCCCGUGUUCCGUCCAAUAGAUGACUGUGAGCAUCCACUUCUGUAUUUGUCAGGACCCUGAUAUAGCUGUCAGGCAGAGCCUCACAGCUAUAUCAGGGUCCUGUCAGCAAAAUCUUGUUGGCAUAUUCAAUAGUGUCUGGAUUUGGUGGUUGUUUAUGGGAUGGAUUCGUGGGUGGGACAGUUUCUGGAUGGUCCUUCCUUCUUGACCUGUCACCUUUAUUAAUGAUUGAGUAAUUCUGAAUAGAUAUACCAUGUUUGCCUCAUCUUCAUCUUUAGUUUAUUUAUUUUUACCUUUGUUGAAGUGAUCAAUAAAUUAUCUGCCAACUCUUCUUGAAGUGGCAGUUCACCUGGAUCAAAUCUGAUUGUUUCCAGUCUAUAUUAGGUAGCAUCAUAAAUCCUCUCACUGUCUUUCACCUCUUAAACCAAACCUUGCAAAUGGUGGCAGUCACAUAUUGACAGCAAUUACCACUCUAGGUUCAUCCCUGGCUCAAUCUCUCUCUUCCUAGAGCCUUCAUCAUGCAUGCAUGUCCCACCAACUCUGGCUGAACAAGGCAACAAAUGGUGGCUUGUAGGUGACACAUCUUCCUGAGUUGAUAUUUUUAUAUAAAUUACAAUGCUGACUAUUCAGUGUAUAGGCUGAUAUUCCUAAAUAUAAACUCUGUUGUGUUUCAAAAAUAAUCUAGGCUUUGUUUUUUGCAUCUGGAGAGAGAAACAAUUUUCUGUUUUAUAUCUGGUGUCAAAAGUUUAUCACUACCUCAGUUGAUAAUUUGACCCUCAUAAUUACCCCUGUGAAGCAGGUACUGAACUCCAGAAACCCUUCAAGAUGAGACUGUUAGUGUGACUUUUGCUUCAUAUAUUAUAAACCAUCUUCCAUUCUCAGUAUCCUAAGUUGCAGGGUAAAUAUAUUUUUUACAAG
rnacentral:lncRNA from 1 species